GAUGAACGCUGGCGGCAUGCCUAACACAUGCAAGUCGAGCGGAUGGACGGAACUUUCUCUUGUAUUCUGCUGCGGACGGGUGAGUAAUUCAUAGGAAGCUACCUUGUAUUUAGGGAUAACAUCAGUUAACGGACGCUAAUAUCACAUCGGUUCAUAUUUGGAACGGGGGGGUUCUUCGGACCUCGCCCUAUCAGAUGUCCCUAGUAGGUAUUAGCUAGUUGGUGGGGUAACGGCCUACCAUGGCAACGAUCCAUAACUAAUCUGAGAGGAUGAUCUGUCACACUGGAACUGAGACACGGUCCAGACUCCUACGGGAGGCAGCAGUGGGGAAUAUUGGACAAUGGGCGGAAGCCUGAUCCAGCAAUGCCGCGUGUGUGAAGAAGGUCUUCGGAUUGUAAAGCUCUUUUAGUUGGGAGGAAGAGAAGUAAGUUAAUACGUUGCUGUUUUGACGUUACCAACAGAAUAAGCACCGGCUAACUUCGUG
rnacentral:rRNA from 1 species